GACGAACGCUGGCGGCGUGCCUAAUACAUGCAAGUAGAACGCUGAAGGAGGAGCUUGCUUCUCUGGAUGAGUUGCGAACGGGUGAGUAACGCGUAGGUAACCUGCCUGGUAGCGGGGGAUAACUAUUGGAAACGAUAGCUAAUACCGCAUAAUAGUAGAUGUUGCAUGACAUUUGCUUAAAAGGUGCAAUUGCAUCACUACCAGAUGGACCUGCGUUGUAUUAGCUAGUUGGUGAGGUAACGGCUCACCAAGGCAACGAUACAUAGCCGACCUGAGAGGGUGAUCGGCCACACUGGGAAUGAGACACGGCCCAGACUCCUACGGGAGGCAGCAGUAGGGAAUCUUCGGCAAUGGACGGAAGGCUGACCGAGAAACGCCGCGUGAGUGAAGAAGGUUUUCGGAUCGUAAAGCUCUGUUGUAAGAGAAGAACGAGUGUGAGAGUGGAAAGUUCACACUGUGACGGUAUCUUACCAGAAAGGGACGGCUAACUACGUG
rnacentral:rRNA from 1 species